GACGCACGCUGGCGGCGUGCUUAACACAUGCAAGUUGAACGGUAAGGCCCUUCGGGGUACACGAGUGGCGAACGGGUGAGUAACACGUGGGUGAUCUGCCCUGCACUUCGGGAUAAGCCUGGGAAACUGGGUCUAAUACCGGAUAGGACCACUGCCUGCAGGGGUGGUGGUGGAAAGCUUUUGCGGGGUGGGAUGGGCCCGCGGCCUAUCAGCUUGUUGGUGGGGUGAUGGCCUACCAAGGCGACGACGGGUAGCCGGCCUGAGAGGGUGACCGGCCACACUGGGACUGAGAUACGGCCCAGACUCCUACGGGAGGCAGCAGUGGGGAAUAUUGCACAAUGGGCGCAAGCCUGAUGCAGCGACGCCGCGUGAGGGAUGACGGCCUUCGGGUUGUAAACCUCUUUCAGCACCGACGAAGCGCAAGUGACGGUAGGUGCAGAAGAAGGACCGGCCAACUACGUGCCAGCAGCCGCCGUAA
rnacentral:rRNA from 1 species